UACGAAGGGGCUAGCGUUGUUCGGAAUUACUGGGCGUAAAGCGCGCGCAGGCGGUCUUCCAAGUCAGUGGUGAAAGCCCGGAGCUCAACUCCGGAACUGCCAUUGAACUGUAAGACUUGAGGAUGAGAGAGGUGAGUGGAAUUCCCAGUGUAGAGGUGAAAUUCGUAGAUAUUGGAAGAACACCGGUGGCGAAGGCGGCUCACUGGCCUCGAUUACUGACGCUCAGGCGCGACAGCGUGGGAUCAAACAGG
rnacentral:rRNA from 1 species